CCGAAGUGAGUCAUGUUAUAAACGCAAGGCGCCCGUGGUGGGAAGAAGAUGACGAAACAGCGUACUUACACAGCAUAUUUUGCCGUGUGUUAAGUCACCCUUAUCUCCACUCAGAAUGCUAAUCCUGUAAGUUAGGCUGGAGAACUUCUGUGAAGUUUGGACAGUAGGAGAUGAGGUACUGGCGAAAGUAAAGCUGUGAGGACGGGUCGUGACUCAUGCUCUGGCGCUCAGUUUGUAGAGCACUUGCAAAGGUCCCAGUUCGGCACAGAGCUGUAAUCUGGCAAAAAGUUUCACACAGGCAGACACACUCCGCUGCAAGGUCAUGUGAAUUCACAGAACAUGAGGUACUGGGCAACGGAGAACCCUAACAUUAUGUGUCAGCAACCACUCCACGAUGAAAAAAUCGGCGUUUGGUGGCCUUAACAAGAACGCGCAUCAUUGGACCGAUCUUUUUUGACAUUAACUUCAACACGGUUGCAUAUAUGAAUAUUUUUGAUACAUUUUGUGCUCAACUCACUAAAUUCGAAAGACAAUACUACUUUUUCCAGCAAGGGUGCGGCAACAUGUCGCACGUCUAAGGUACCCUGGAAAGAGUUAAUGAUGUCUUCACUGAGAAACGAACUGUCAGUAACAUUGAUGGCAACCACGUUCUCGAGAUCUAGCAACAUGUGAUUUUUUUCCUGUGGGGACACUUGAAGAGCAAGGUCUAUGAAACAAAUCCACCCACAACACAGGAACUGAAAGACAACUUGACGCCGAAAGUGUAUGAAUACGCUUAGACGUGCACAGGUGUGUAUAGGCGCUGCACGGGGUCACAUUCAGUAUCUUUUAUAAAUGUAUUUUUCACUGUAUCACUGUACUUUUCAUUCUAAAUAAAUGGUGAUUCCAUUUCA